rnacentral:rRNA from 1 species
GACGAACGCUGGCGGCGUGCCUAAUACAUGCAAGUUGAGCGCUGAAGGUUGGUACUUGUACCGACUGGAUGAGCAGCGAACGGGUGAGUAACGCGUGGGGAAUCUGCCUUUGAGCGGGGGACAACAUUUGGAAACGAAUGCUAAUACCGCAUAAAAACUUUAAACACAAGUUUUAAGUUUGAAAGAUGCAAUUGCAUCACUCAAAGAUGAUCCCGCGUUGUAUUAGCUAGUUGGUGAGGUAAAGGCUCACCAAGGCGAUGAUACAUAGCCGACCUGAGAGGGUGGUCGGCCACAUUGGGACUGAGGCACGGCCCAAACUCCUACGGGAGGCAGCAGUAGGGGAUCUUCGGCAAUGGACGAAAGUCUGACCGAGCAACGCCGCGUGAGUGAAGAAGGUUUUCGGAUCGUAAAACUCUGUUGGUAGAGAAGAACGUUGGUGAGAGUGGAAAGCUCAUCAAGUGACGGUAACUACCCAGAAAGGGACGGCUAACUACGUG